AUGUGUCAGAGGCCCUUCCUGGAGCCAAUGACUCUCCUGAAAGAAAGCACUCUGGGUUCCCCACUUACUCUGUCAUCUUGGCAGCUGGCAGCAACUCAUUCCGGUAAUCUCUCUCUUCCACCAUCCCUGGUUUUGGCAGUAAAAAAUGCACCACAAAAUAUGAAGAAAUUUGGAGAAGGAGGAAAAGUCUUACCAGUAAAUAUAGCCAAGGCAUCAGCAAAACGAUGAAACUGAUAUAUAGCUGUUUUCCUCUUGCAAAAGACUUUUUCAUCUGACAAGAUACACACGAUAGAUGAAAACAUUAAAUGUGAAAAAUAUGUAAGUAGCAGGUGCUGAGCUUUGUAUAAUGAGUUGUGUGUUCAUUUCUUCUUGAAGGUGAGAAACAGUUCAACCACAGCUGGGGUGGGUGGAGAAACAUAAUUCUUAGUGAUGUAUAGUGAAAAUCAUAGCCCACCAGCUCAGCCAUACAGCACUUGAAGAGGUCAUGAUUAUGAAGGGCCGCACACAAGAGCCAGAUGUAUACCAGUGACAAGGAAUACGCAUUUUCUUCAGAUGUCACAAGUCCUCUUUUUCAUUGUUGAGUAAUGACUAUAACAGCAUCACUUAGUUCAACCAACAGUAUCUGUGAUGGGGCAGAAGAAAACCUCAAGACAGUAUUAGUGUUCAAAUAACACGAGUUUCACAAACACCCAGAACAGUUUCUUUUUUGCAAUGAUUCAUAGAUGAUUAAAAAAAAAAAAACUGUAAGACAAUUUCCUGUGGUGAAUUUAUAACCAUAGCUUUUGAAUUAUUGAAAAACAAUGCUUUCAAGUUGGCCAUCUCUAUGAUGCUGGUCAUCUUGGUGUUUGGGUGUUCAGAGCCAUUAAACUACAACAAAGCACAUAAAUAUAAAGUGACAAAAAGAGUCCUUGCCUGUCUCUCCAAGCCAGCAGCUUCUCAUCGGGAAUAACGGUUUCAGAGGGGAGGGUUAGAAGAUUCCUUAGAUAGAUUCAUGGUGGCUUCCAGAUGGCUGAUACAAAAGCCAGAGGGAGGCUUGGGUAGGCAGUCAUUUGAUAGCUGGUUUAUGACGAGGAUAGCAAAAUGAAUUUCCAGAUAUAUUUCCAACUAGAGGCCUUAGAAUCUCUCACCCAGGGUUUCUGUUGUAAAUUAAAA
rnacentral:lncRNA from 1 species